GAUGAACGCUGGCGGCGUGCCUAAUACAUGCAAGUCGAGCGAACAGACGAGGAGCUUGCUCCUCUGACGUUAGCGGCGGACGGGUGAGUAACACGUGGAUAACCUACCUAUAAGACUGGGAUAACUUCGGGAAACCGGAGCUAAUACCGGAUAAUAUUUUGAACCGCAUGGUUCAAUAGUGAAAGAUGGCUUUGCUGUCACUUAUAGAUGGAUCCGCGCCGCAUUAGCUAGUUGGUAAGGUAACGGCUUACCAAGGCAACGAUGCGUAGCCGACCUGAGAGGGUGAUCGGCCACACUGGAACUGAGACACGGUCCAGACUCCUACGGGAGGCAGCAGUAGGGAAUCUUCCGCAAUGGGCGAAAGCCUGACGGAGCAACGCCGCGUGAGUGAUGAAGGUCUUCGGAUCGUAAAACUCUGUUAUUAGGGAAGAACAAAUGUGUAAGUAACUAUGCACGUCUUGACGGUACCUAAUCAGAAAGCCACGGCUAACUACGUG
rnacentral:rRNA from 1 species